AGUAAAUGUCACGCCCCGGGAUUCCUUUUAGUUUAAAACAUAGCGGAAAAGCGUCUAAAUUUUUUUUUUUGAGAACCCGACCCCAGAGUAUGACAGAUCCACCACAAAUACAGGGAAUCCACUGUUUACACGGACAGAGUCUCCCCUGUAUUUGCACGGCGUCGCACAAGUAUAAGAAGUAAUCCAGGUACAACCACAACCAGAUGAAUAUACAAACAACCAACAGUUAUAUAUUCAUACACCAUUCACCACAGGUUCACAUUUUAACAUUCCAUUUUUAAACAUAAAUUCACAUCUAUCAGUUAAAAUGUUUCCAACCACAGAAAUAGGUUUUGAAAUACUAAGAUACAAAAUCCACAUAAAACCUUUUGAAAACUGUUCCCUGCACAGGAACUUUUAUCUUUUUAAAACGCUACCACGAGGGGUAGAAAACCAUUUUAUUUCAAGAAACACAAAUUCCUUUAUUACAUUCCAAAACCAACUGAAAACAUCAAUAUCCAAUAGCAAAUAAUAGAAACUGAACCAUAUAAGUAUCUAAG
rnacentral:lncRNA from 1 species